UACGUAUGGUGCAAGCGUUAUCCGGAUUUACUGGGUGUAAAGGGAGCGCAGGCGGCACGGCAAGCCUGAUGUGAAAGCCCGCGGCCCAACCGCGGGACUGCAUUGGGAACUACCGGGCUGGAGUGCCGGAGAGGUAGGCGGAAUUCCUAGUGUAGCGGUGAAAUGCGUAGAUAUUAGGAGGAACACCAGUGGCGAAUGCGGCCUACUGGACGGUGACUGACGCUGAGGCUCGAAAGCGUGGGGAGCAAACAGG
rnacentral:rRNA from 1 species